UACGAAGGGGGCUAGCGUUGUUCGGAAUACUGGGCGUAAAGCGUGCGCAGGCGGUUUUGUAAGUCUGACGUGAAAUCCCCGGGCUCAACCUGGGAAUUGCGUUGGAGACUGCAAGGCUAGAAUCUGGCAGAGGGGGGUAGAAUUCCACGUGUGAGCAGUGAAAUGCGUAGAUAUGUGGAGGAACACCGAUGGCGAAGGCAGCCCCCUGGUCAAG
rnacentral:rRNA from 1 species